rnacentral:rRNA from 1 species
GAUGAACGCUGGCGGCGUGCCUAAUACAUGCAAGUCGAGCGAACGGACGAGAAGCUUGCUUCUCUGAUGUUAGCGGCGGACGGGUGAGUAACACGUGGAUAACCUACCUAUAAGACUGGGAUAACUUCGGGAAACCGUAGCUAAUACCGGAUAAUAAUUUGAACCGCAUGGUUCAAAAGUGAAAGACGGUCUUGCUGUCACUUAUAGAUGGAUCCGCGCUGCAUUAGCUAGUUGGUAAGGUAACGGCUUACCAAGGCAACGAUGCAUAGCCGACCUGAGAGGGUGAUCGGCCACACUGGAACUGAGACACGGUCCAGACUCCUACGGGAGGCAGCAGUAGGGAAUCUUCCGCAAUGGGCGAAAGCCUGACGGAGCAACGCCGCGUGAGUGAUGAAGGUCUUCGGAUCGUAAAACUCUGUUAUUAGGGAAGAACAUAUGUGUAAGUAACUGUGCACAUCUUGACGGUACCUAAUCAGAAAGCCACGGCUAACUACGUG